ensembl:lncRNA
GGCCCGGCGCUUCCUGGCUGCGUUCGCUCCGCGCGUCCCUCGUCGCCCGCCCAGGGUCCCUGUGGUUUGGGGUUCCAGCCUCUCUCAAGCCCUGGGAGACGGCGCUGGACUCAACGCCACGGGACUGGCACGGGACUGGCACUGUGGUGGCCAGGGACUGGAAGAUGCUUUUCUCCAUCGUGAGCCAGUCUGCCCGAGCUUCCUGAUCUGCGUGCAGACAGGUUCCCGUCCCCGGUCCCAAAGAACCCGCGGGAUUAGGAGAAACUUGGGGAUCCGCCUGUUGAGGCAGCUGUUGAAAACUGUGGUUCUUGGGGCUGGAGAAGUCGUUCAGUGGUGGUUAGGAGUGUUUGUCUGGUCUGAAGAAAGCCUUGGGGGUCAUUCGCCAGCGCCUCACAAAGACUGGUGUGAUGGCACGGGCUUGAAAUGCUAGCUAGUACUCAGUAGGUGGAGGCCAAGAGGAUCCAAAUCUCAAGGCCAUUUUGGGUUCGAAACCUGCUGGAGACCAGCCUGGAAUGCACGAGGGCCCGUUGAAAUACGGAAGGGAAAGAUGGUAGGUGUAAUUCUUCAAAGCCAGUUUAAGAAAGAUGCAACAUGUCUAAAGUAGCAGGAGUCUUGCGGAUAUGGAGGUAGUAAUUGAUGCGUGCAUUGCACCGAAGCUUCACCGCAGCGGACCACUCAACUGCAGUAAAAGGCUGACUGGGCAAGAGCUAGGCAAAAAGAGGUUAGCCGGAAAGCCAAACGCAGGACCCUGGGAAAAAAAGCAGAGUUUCAGGAGUUGCCACCCAGAUGUAGAGGAAGCAGAUGAAUAUCCUGUGCUGAAAAGAAAAAAAAAAAAAAAAAAGUGCACCAGAGACACUUAAUGAACCAGUGAGGACAUUAUACCUGCUCCUGAAGAACAACUGUGUGUGAAACCAUGUUGUACUCUGGUAUGCCAGUCACCCCCCCACCCCAGGUUCCAGGGUGCUUUUGUGUCUUGGAGGAGGGAGGGAAAGCCAGGUGUUGCUUUGAGGUUUUGUGCGUGCGUGCAUGCAUGUUACAUGUACAUGAGUGUGGUAAGAACCCAUGCAGUAUGUGCAGAGAUCUGAGCAGGAAGUCUGAGAUCUCAGACUUACUGCCUUCAGGCAGGAUCUUUCACUACAUUGAAAUGUUCACUGUUACCCCAGUCACUGCACUCUCUCUGGAUCAGCAUGUAUCCACCUUCCCAGGGUUGGGGUUAUAGGCACACAAAACCAUGCUCACCUUUUUAUGUGGGUUCUGGGGAUUUGAACUCAGGUUCCCAAGCUUGCAGGGCAAUGGCUCUUACCAGUAGAACGUCUCAGCCCUGGUUUUCCCCUAGAUAGAAAUCUCACUCAUUAGCCCAGGCUGAUCCUGAACUUGCAGUAGUGCUCCUGUGCCAGUCUUCCCUGUCCUGGAAUUACAGGCAUGAGCUAACCAUAUCCAAACAUUGCUCAUUUUAAGUUGGAUCCCACCAAACCCUGCUUUCCAGGAAGAGGCCCAAGAGGGUAGCAAUCCAAGGCUGUGCAAUUGGCUAACAAAAAACAUUAGUUCUCUGCUCAUAAUUUCAUUUUUGUUUUUGAGACUAGAACUCAGAACUCAUUAAGUCCAGAAUGAUCUUGAGCAAAAGCAAGUCUCCAGUCUGUCUCCGAUGAACUGAUUAGUCAUACCACCUUGUUACUGCAUGUGGACAUGCA